AUUGACCACAAGAAAUGGGAGGAUUUGGAAUGUGUGCAGCUGAGUCGGCCUGUGCCUCUGGGCAUUUGGACACUUCUUGCUGUUUGAGAAUUGGCUCUAGAACUUGUGGGCCACCUUGAGGUGUUUUUUUUUUUUUUGUCCCUAAUUGAUUAGAGAGCCACCACAUGGAGCAAGAUACAAAGACACAUACUGUGUCCAAUACUGAUUUGAAAGAGAGCCUAUGGGUUUUUUACAUUUUGUGGCAGUAGCCUUGCGUAUUCUGCUGAGCUUCAUCCACACAGUUAAAACAGUCUCUCUCUUGACUUAACACCUGAUGGAGCUCUGUGUGUACCUAUAGGUAGCUCUGUGUUUCUGUUUGUUUAGGGAUCUCCAUUUUCUCUCUACUCUGUCUGCCAUCUAGAUAUUGGGGUGACUAGCCAAACCAGACCAGCACUUUCUCUCCAGCAUGCUCUGUGACACAUAGCAGCUCCCAAAGCAUUCUACGACACGCCAGUGAUGAGCAUCCGUGACUCUGACCCUCAUUUUGAGAUCUGUACAGAGCUGUCCGUUCCUUUCACAUCU
rnacentral:lncRNA from 1 species